rnacentral:rRNA from 1 species
GACGAACGCUGGCGGCGUGCUUAACACAUGCAAGUCGAACGGAAAGGCCCUGCUUGCCGGGUACUCGAGUGGCGAACGGGUGAGUAACACGUGGGUGAUCUGCCCUGCACUUCGGGAUAAGCCUGGGAAACUGGGUCUAAUACCGGAUAGGAGCCAUUUUUAGUGUGAUGGUUGGAAAGUUUUUUCGGUGUAGGAUGAGCUCGCGGCCUAUCAGCUUGUUGGUGGGGUAAUGGCCUACCAAGGCGGCGACGGGUAGCCGGCCUGAGAGGGUGGACGGCCACAUUGGGGCUGAGAUACGGCCCAGACUCCUACGGGAGGCAGCAGUGGGGAAUAUUGCACAAUGGGCGCAAGCCUGAUGCAGCGACGCCGCGGGGGGGAUGACGGCCUUCGGGUUGGAAACUCCUUUCGCUAGGGACGAAGCUUUUUGUGACGGUACCUAGAUAAGAAGCACCGGCUAACUACGUG